rnacentral:rRNA from 1 species
UUUAAGGUCUAACCUGCCCAAUGAGGAUUUAAAUGGCCGCAGUAUUUUGACUGUGCAAAGGUAGCAUAAUUAUUAGUUUUUUAAUUGAAAGCUUGUAUGAAGGGUUGGACGAGAUAAAAUCUGUCUUUAUUUAAAUUAAAGUAUAAUUUAACUUUUAAGUCAAAAGGCUUAAAUGUUUAUAAAAGACGAGAAGACCCUAUAGAUCUUUAUUUAGUUAAGAUUUUAAUAAUUUAGGAUUAUUUUAAUUUGGAGUCUUAAUUGAAUUUUAUUGGGGUAAUAUAAAGAUUAAAUGAAUUCUUUUUAUUUAUGACAUUAAUUUAUGAAUAUAUGAUCCAUUAAUAUUGAUUAUAAGAUUAAGUUACCUUAGGGAUAACAGCGUAAUUUUUUUGGAGAGCUCAUAUCGAUAAGAAAGUUUGCGACCUCGAUGUUGGAUUAAAAAUUAGCUUGGGUGUAGAAGCUCAAGAUUUUGGUCUGUUCGACCAUUAAAUUUUUACAUGAUCUGAGUUCAGACCGGCGUAAGCCAGGUCGGUUUCUAUCUUUAUUCAGAUAAAAUAUUUUAGUACGAAAGGACCAAGUAUUUAAUAUAAUUAUAUUUAUUUUUU